GGAACCGGGAGAGGUAAGAGGUACUACGAGGGGUAGGAGUGAAAUCUUGUAAUCCCUGGUGGGACCACCUGUGGCGAAGGCGUCUACAGAACGGGUUCGACGGUGAGGACGAAAGCUGGGGGCACGAACCGGAUUAGAUACCCGGGUAGUCCCAGCCGUAAACGAUGCUCGCUAGGUGUCAGGCAUGGCGCGACCGUGUCUGGUGCCGCAGGGAAGCCGUGAAGCGAGCCACCUGGGAAGUACGGCCGCAAGGCUGAAACUUAAAGGAAUUGGCGGGGGAGCACAACAACGGGUGGAGCCCUGCGGUUUAAUUGGACUCAACGCCGGACAACUCACCGGGGGCGACAGCAAUAUGUAGGCCAAGCUGAAGACUUUGCCUGAAUCGCUGAGUAGAGGUGCAUGG
rnacentral:rRNA from 1 species